rnacentral:rRNA from 1 species
GAUGAACGCUGGCGGCAGGCCUAACACAUGCAAGUCGAGCGAGCGGCGGACGGGUGAGUAAUGUAUGGGGAUCUGCCCGAUAGAGGGGGAUAACUACUGGAAACGGUGGCUAAUACCGCAUACUAUCGGAUGAACCCAUAUGGGAUUGGCUAGUAGGUGGGGUAAAGGCUAACCUCGGCGACGAUCUCUAGCUGGUCUGAGAGGAUGAUCAGCCACACUGGUACGGAGAAACGGCCCAGACUCCUACGGGAGGCAGCAGUGGGGAAUAUUGCACAAUGGGCGCAAGCCUGAUGCAGCCAUGCCGCGUGUAUGAAGAAGGCCUUAGGGUUGUAAAGUACUUUCAGCGGGGAGGCGUUACCCGCAGAAGAAGCACCGGCUAACUCCGUGCCAGCAGCCGCGGUAAUUC